AUUGAACGCUGGCGGCAUGCCUAACACAUGCAAGUCGAGCGGAUGAAGGGAGCUUGCUCCUGGAUUCAGCGGCGGACGGGUGAGUAAUGCCUAGGAAUCUGCCUUGUAGUGGGGGAUAACGUCCUGAAACGGGCGCUAAUACCGCAUACGUCCUGAGGUAGAAAGUGGGGGAUCUUCGGACCUCACGCUAUCAGAUGAGCCUAGGUCGGAUUAGCUAGUUGGUGGGGUAAAGGCCUACCAAGGCGACGAUCCGUAACUGGUCUGAGAGGAUGAUCAGUCACACUGGAACUGAGACACGGUCCAGACUCCUACGGGAGGAAGCAGUGGGGAAUAUUGGACAAUGGGCGAAAGCCUGAUCCAGCCAUGCCGCGUGAGUGAUGAAGGUCUUAGGCUUGUAAAGCACUUUAAGUUGGGAGGAAGGGCAGUAAGUUAAUCCCUUGCUGUAUUGACGUUACCAACAGAAUAAGCACCGGCUAACUUCGUG
rnacentral:rRNA from 1 species